rnacentral:rRNA from 1 species
ACGAACGCUGGCGGCUGCUUAACACAUGCAAGUCGAACGGAGUGGCGAACGGGUGAGUAACGCGUGAGCAACCUGCCUAUGACAGUGGGAUAGCCUCGGGAACCCGGGAUUAAUACCGCAUAGUCAUAGAUGGGCGCGCGUCUGAUUAGCUAGUUGGUGAGAUAACAGCUCACCAAGGCGAGGAUCAGUAGCCGGUCGGAGAGGAUGAACGGCCAAAUUGGAACUGAGACACGGUCCAAACUCCUACGGGAGGCAGCAGGGGGGAAUAUUGCACAAUGGGGGAAACCCUGAGGCAGCGACGCCGCGGGAACUAAGAAGGUAUUCGUAUCGUAAAGUUCUGUCCUAUGGUAAGCAGUACCAUAGAAGAAAGCUCCGGCUAAAUACGUGCCAGCAGCCGCGGUAAUUC